ensembl:lncRNA
AGGAGCGAAGGUAGGCUGUCACCGAGACGCUCGCUGGUUUUUGCUCUGUGCAUUCUACCUCUAUCGCCCUCACUCCCCGACACACAAGUAUAGGAAUCUGUUAAAAAGAUUUAUUGUGCCUGUUGCCACCUCGUUGAUACCUUUUUCGUGCUGGCUAAGCAAAAAGGAGUCAGUGAAAAGAGAACUGGACCACACAUGUUUUUUUCUGAUGUUCUAUCAGAACUGAGGAUGGAGAGGGGUCCCCUCUUCUGCUGUGGAAACAGAAUGACAGUAUUUUGAUUAUGAUGUGAGAGAAGUUUUAAAGAAAAGUUUCUUCAAAAAUUUCCUUAAAGCUGUAGAAAAAGCUACAACAAAUAGAACUAUUAAUAUCAUUGGAUUCGGUGAAGCUAAGACCCCAAGGUAAUGAGCAAAUGCUAGAGCUGGCACAGACCUAAUCUAAAGAUCACCAAGGACGUCUUAAGCAGUUUUCUUCAAUCUGCUGUCCUCUGGAUCCGCUUGCCUCAGGAGUUAGGAAUCUUGGCUGAUUUGCUUCUUAACUAUCAAAAUGUGCCUUUUUUGUAUUUCUAUUUAGAGCCUGUUAUCUGUUAAGUGAAAAAUCUAAUAAAGACAUCCUUCCCCGUUUACUAGAAGGCACUUAGCAUGGUAUCCUUCUCAGGCAGCCCAUCCAUUCACGCUGAUGAUGGGCAUUUCAAGUUGUGUCAUAGGUUACUAUCAAAAAACACUUUGGGGCUCAUGGAAUCUUAACUGGUAGCUCGGUCAAGUGUUUCUCAGAAUAAGAAAAAGAAAGUUAUCAAUACAUAAAUUUUGGACAAAGAUCAGUUAUUAAGAAUUGGUAAAAUUCAAUCCUGGUUUUAGUCAAAAUUUGUCUAGGGACUUCCUUGGCUGUCCAGUGGUUAAGACUCACAGCUUCCAGUCUUCCUGCAGGAGCAGGGGUUGAUCCCCAGUGGGGGAACUAGGAUUUCAUGUGCUAUGUGGUCCAGCCAAGAAAAAAAAAGGUCUAAAUUUGUCUAUAUAAAACUGAAUAACCUGUUAAGCUAAUUAUUAAAUGUCAUGUAAAAACAUAAGUCACUGAUCUUAAACUUUUUAGUUUCAGGACCCCUUUACACUCUUAAAAAUUAUUAAGAACUCCAACAACUUUUAUGUGUUAUAACUAUCAAUACUUGUCAUGUUUUAGAAAUUAAAACUUGAAAUUUUUAAUUUUUUUAGUCAUUAAAAAGAGCACAUUGUAUGUUGACAUAAAUAGAUA